CGUCUCUUAUCUUAUUUAUUAGUAAAUAAAAUAUUUUCUCUUCUCCCCCUUUUAUUAGGUAACAAAAUCAGAGAGCUGUGUCUCCUCUUUAGUCUUCUCUUCCAAAGCCCACAAUAUGCUUUAAGAGAGCUCAAAGAACUCCCUUUCUCUGUUAUUCCUUUGGCUCCAAGUAUGAAACAACCUUAGGGCUUCAUAAUCCUCGAUCGGUUGAAGAAGUUUUUAAGGAUUUCAGAUGAAGAUGUUGAGAAAUUCUUUCAAUAAUGUGAUCCUCGUGAGUCCUAUUUUUUAUUUGGGAUUAGCACGGUUUUGGUUUAAAAAAAGUAAUAGUGACUACGGUAUCAAUUUGGUUUCUGGAUGCUGUUAAAUUGUAUAUUUUGAGUAUUUGAUGGUUGUAAUUACUUAGAUUUCACUUUAGAGUUAGUUGGAUCUCAGAUUCAGAGAUAUCUCCAAUUGUAUCCCUUAUUUUAUUUUCAUGCAAUCCGACCAACUCUUACUUCU